AACCGCACAAGCGGUGGAGUAUGUUGUUUAAUUCGAAGAUACACGAAGAACCUUACCAGGUCUUGACAUACCAUUGACAGGCGCAGAGAUGUGCUCUCCUUCGGGCAAUGGAUACAGGUGGUGCAUGGUUGUCGUCAGCUCGUGCCGUGAGGUGUUGGGUUAAGUCCCGCAACGAGCGCAACCCUCAUUGUUAGUUACUACCAUUCAGUUGAGGACUCUAAUGAGACUGCCAACGAUAAGUUGGAGGAAGGUGGGGAUGACGUCAAAUCAUCAUGCCCUUUAUGACCUGGGCUACAAACGUACUACAAUGGCCAAUACAAAGAAAUGCGAAGCGGUGACGUGGAGCGAACCUCAGAAAGUUGGUCUCAGUUCAGAUUGAAGUCUGCAACUCGACUUCAUGAAGGCGGAAUCGCUAGUAAUCGCGGGUCAGCAGACCGCGGUGAAUACGUUCCCGGGUUUU
rnacentral:rRNA from 1 species